GCAUAUCAAUAAGCGGAGGAAAAGAAACCAACAGGGAUUGCCCCAGUAACGGCGAGUGAAGCGGCAACAAAUCAAAUUUUAAAUCUGGCCCCCAGGGCCCGAGUUGUAAUUUGCAGAGGAUGGUUUUGGCGCGGCGCCUUUCGAGUUUCCAGGAACGGGACGCCAAAGAGGGUGAGAGCCCCGUCUGGUCGGACGCCAAGCCAGUGUAAAGCUCCUUCCACGAGUCGAGUAGUUUUGGAAGGAUGUUCAUAUCAAGAUGGGUUUUUUUUAUAACAAAAAAUAUAGCCCAGAGACAGAUAGCGCACAAGUAGAGUGAUAGAAAGAAAAAACGCACCAGAAAAGAGGGUUACACACUACGUAAAAUUGUGAAAGGGAAGCAC
rnacentral:rRNA from 1 species